rnacentral:rRNA from 4 species
CUAACCGUAAACUAUGCCAACUAGCGAUCCGUCGGUGUUAAAUAUUGACUCGACGGGCAGCUUCCGGGAAACCAAAGUUUAUAGGUUCCGGGGGAAGUAUGGUUGCAAAGCUUAAACUUAAAGGAAUUGACGGAAGGGCACCACCAGGAGUGGAGCCUGCGGCUUAAUUUGACUCAACACGGGGAAACUCACCCGGCCAGGACACAAUAAGGAUUGACAGAUUGAUAGCUCUUUCUUGAUUUUGUGGGUGGUGGUGCAUGGCCGUUCUUAGUUGGUGGAGCGAUUUGUCUGGUUAAUUCCGAUAACGAACGAGACUCUAGCCUAUUAAAUAGACGAUAUAUUUUAUUCGUAUAUCGAGCUUCUUAGAGGGACGAGCAGCUUCUAGCUGCACGAGAUUGAGCAAUAACAGGUCUGUGAUGCCCUUAGAUGUCCGGGGCUGCACGCGCGCUACAAUGAAAAUAGCAGCGCGUUUCGAAAACCUUUUCUGGAAAGAAUUGGUAAACGCGAAAUAUUUUCGUGAUAGGGAUAGGGGAUUGCAAUUAUUGCCCUUGAACGAGGAAUUCCCAGUAAAUUCGAGUCAUCAGCUCGAGUUG